AUAAAAAAUAAAAAAACCUCUAAAGAUGAAGGCAUAUCUUGUUCUAUGCAUUCUCUUGGCCUCCGUUCUCUUCUUUCCCUCCUCACUUUUAGCUCGAGAAUUAGCUGGCAAAGUGACACCGGUAACAAGAGACCCUAAUGCAAAGCCAUGCGGUCCCGGUGGCAAGGGCAAGCCAUAUAAUUGCAACCAGCCGAAACGUCCGCCAAAAUCUGGUCCUUCGUGUAACAAGUUCGAGCGCGGAGGUUGCGCACCUAUUUCGAGCCCUUGAAUUAGAGACCAAGAAUAUGGUGUGAAAUCAAGUCAGCCUAUGUGACUACUAUCAGCUACUGUAGUAGUAUGUGCGUCUGCUUAAUUAGCAGUGUUAUAUUGUAAGCCAGUACUUGUUAACGAAUAAUAAAGGUGACAAAAUGUGUGGUAAGACUUGUCAUCAAGGCUCCGCAGAGUGCCGCAGAGUGUUGUAAUCUAUGUUCUCUUGUGAAAUGAAAAGAAAUGGCUGAUUUGAUUUAA